rnacentral:rRNA from 1 species
GUGGGGAAUAUUGCACAAUGGGGGAAACCCUGAUGCAGCGACGCCGCGUGAGUGAAGAAGUAUUUCGGUACGUAAAGCUCUAUCAGCAAGGAAGAAAAUGACGGUACUUGACUAAGAAGCCCCGGCUAACUACGUGCCAGCAGCCGCGGUAAUACGUAGGGGGCAAGCGUUAUCCGGAUUUACUGGGUGUAAAGGGAGCGUAGACGGUAUGGUAAGUCAGAUGUGAAAGCCCGGGGCUCAACCCCGGGACUGCAUUUGAAACUAUCAGACUAGAGUGCAGGGGAGGUAAGUGGAAUUCCUAGUGUAGCGGUGAAAUGCGUAGAUAUUAGGAGGAACACCAGUGGCGAAGGCGGCUUACUGGACUGUAACUGACGUUGAGGCUCGAAAGCGUGGGGAGCAAACAGGAUUAGAAACCCCAGUAGUCC